rnacentral:lncRNA from 1 species
AAGUUCAGAAACUUUGGAAUUGCUUUGAUUUGCUUCAAUGAGGCUCCUGUGAUCACUGGUUGCUACAAUAAUUCCAGCUGUGUAUACCUCCUGGGAUCAUAAUAGAAAUGAACCUCUGAAGCAUCUUACUGAAGAAGGCCCCUACGUUGACUGUCCAGCUGACUGUCUCUACCCGACUGCUGUCCCACACAAUAUGGGCCAGGCGAUGGUAUUGCCUUUGCAAACUAAAUGAAGUUCCUCAAAGUGAAGCUGGUGGCGACUUCAGAGUUAACUUUUCAAAUGGCCGGGCUUAUAUAGAAUAACCUUUGUAAAAGUAAACUAUGAUCAUAUAAUAAGAUACAUGUGCAUUUGGAACGCCACUGCUUUUGGAACCU